CUGAUGCUGCAGCCUGGAAGGGUAUAUUUCCCUUCCUCCUCCCUUGAACUAUCUCAGCUUCUUGCCUGCCAUGCCGUAAUCAAGUCUCCUCCAUCAUGUCCCUUUGCCAUGAUGCUGCCCUGCUUUGGAGCUGGCUGACUAUGGACUGACACCUCUACCAACACUGUUUGGCUUUUGAUUUGCUCCCCAUCAAUGCCUGGUGGAUCACCUUUGAGGGAGUUGGAAGUUUCUGGAGACAUCCUGGGCUCUAAUUGAGCACUGCACUACUGGACAUUACUGCACCGAACAACUUGGACAUGAUAGAACUUCGAGCUGUGAGCUGCCAUUCAGCCUCUGUUGCCAUCUCUGAUGCCCUAGAACCCAUGAUGUCUUGAGGAUGUCUAUUCUAAAAGAGUGCUGCUCUGGGUCUCCGUUGACUUACCCGUGGGCCGGGACAAGUGGCGCCCAACGUGGGGCCAGAGAACGGGGAGAUCCAGUGAAGAACGCUGCUCGGGGGCCCAAUAAAAUAAAAUAGAAAAAGGAGGAUUGCGUCUGACGUGAACCUGCCGUCUUUCCUGCACCUCGGUUAAGAAGGUGACAUCCCUGAUUCCGUUGCAUGGUCUGUUGCUGUUCCUGGCAUCGACAACAAAAAGUGGAUUUCAACCAGUUAACAAACAACAAUUGCUCAUUGCCCUGUAUGGUAACCCCUGUGACUGUGCUGGGGGUUCUGGCAGGGCUGCACCCACAAGUUACACUCGUAGUACUGAUUGCGGUGACAAGAUUGCCUACUUAGUUUAUGAGGCCGCAUUAGUGGGAGGAUAUAACCAAAAAUGGAAAUGUGUCACUAAGCCUAAAAUCAUACCAACUGUCAAUGGCAAACCAGGGCCACGCCCUGCCAGUUGUGUCAUGGCCUCAGAGAUGCAUUCUACCUGUUACACUGAAGCCCAACAAUGUACAUAUUCCGAUGGAAAAAUAUAUUUAACUGCUGUUCUACAAAGAACUUACAGGGGCUCCGUCGGAGGUGACUGGGAUUUUCCCAGCCCCACUGGAU
rnacentral:lncRNA from 1 species